GGCCCUCCGUCCCUGUGCCAAUCUUGCCUGCACCACCGUCUCUCUCCCUCUCUGGAUCCUGGCCGUUGCCACAGCCAGGGCAGCGCCUCUCACUCUCUCCCUAACGCGUGCGGCAGCGACGGCAUGGCAGGCGGUGGCCAUGGUGCCUGCGCCCCCAUGGCGGCAGCUCCCGGCCACAGAGCAGCGCAACCGCACCCACAUGAUGGCCGCUAGCGCUGCUUCCUCUCGGCGCUGCAUCCUCACGCUGAUCCGUGUGGCCUCAACGAAACCCUAGCUGCCUCUUCCUGCGCGCCGCAACCGGUUCGUCUGCUCUACGCAUGCACAGGGGUGCAUCUUCUGCUCCAUUCGCUUCUUGCCGUCUCCCAGGAACAACUGUGUAACUUUGAUUUGUACAACUGCUCUUCGUUUUAAUGGUAUGACCUUACAGAAGUGACUUCACAGCUCUAAAAGAUUACAUCUCAUUCUGUGGUUCCAAUGUGUAAUUUCAAAACAAUUACGGAUGUUGCUAUUGCCAUAAUGCUUUCUUGGAUACAGAUUUGCCUGAGGUGCCGACCUUGAAGUUUUAAUUCAUAGGGACAGGUCAUGCAACUCACUAUAUGAUCAAAUACAGUAUGUCUCCAUGGAGGUUAUAGUUGGACACACACAAGAUGCUACUACCCACGAUUUGAAUGCCUUCACAGCUUCACGCAUAUUCGCAGCGUAAAAAUAGGAAAAAAAUAUUGAGUUUUAUUCAGCUACUUAAAAGCGACACCUGUUGCCUCCAAGACCGAGGACGCUAGACAAACCGCGACAAAAAAGACCCCAAAAGGAACCUGAAGGUAUAUUCCAGCCCACCCCAUUACCGUGUUUCGGGGAGCACAGGCUUUUGUUAGGUUCAGAACAACACAUGCAACAGCUAUGUUGUGUCGUACCUAUCUGUUACUAGAAAUCUCUACAUAGCUAUGAACUGUAUGUCUAGAACUCUGCAUAAAAAUCAUGCUACCUUCUCAUGGCCCAGGCUCAGCAUUGGUCUACUUCCUUGCAGCGUUGUAUAUCAGUAUAUGCUACCAUCAGAUUAUGAAUUUGUAUCAAAUUACCACAUCUAUUACCUAAA